UUUGACAGAAUCCUCUUUGCGUUACCCAAUUCAGACAACAGAUGGCGACGUGGGUAAUUAUUCCGUGACGUCUAAUCUAGUGGACGGGAUGCUAAGAAGAGCAACACGGCUACGUAUUCAUCCACCUCGAUAGCUUGCUAGGCAACAUGAAACCGAAAUAUUGAAGCUCUUUAGACCAUUCUUGUGUAUAUUAGUCUCAGUGUUUUAAACACAAUUGUGUUAAUUAACGUAUCAACUGCUUAAAUGUAACGUCAUUUGCAUGUUAAAUGUGUUAACUUGUUAAGAUUGAUACUGAGCCCGGCACUAGGCUAGUUUCUAAUGCUAACCAGCUAAUGCUAUUUAGCGAACUAAUAUCCCCGACCAUGAGCUCACUAAGCUACUUCUCCCCUGCUAAAGAGGUCUGCUGGACUCAGAAAGAAGCUCUGGGGCUGAACAUUGUCGUAAAAGAGGAUGAUAUUACAGCGAAAGGAGAGGAAGAAGCUUUCAGAAUGAAAAAGGAGGAAGAGGAGGCUAUCACGUUGAAAGAAGAGGAGGAGCAUUUUGGAGUGGAGGGAGUAUCGGCUGUCACAGUGGAAAAAGAGGUAGAAGCUUUCAGAAUGAAAAAGGAGGAAGAGGAGGAUGUUAUAGUGAAAGAAGAGAAUGAAACUUUAGGAGUGAAAGAGGAAGAGGGGAUACAGUCUGUCACAGUGGAAGAGGAGGUAGAAGCUUUCAGAAUUAAAAAGGGAGGAAGAGGUGGCUGUUAGAGUGAAAGACGAACCUUUUGGGAGGAAGAGAAGGCUAUCGGAAUAAAAGAGACGGUUGAAGACGUUCUGGGAGUGAAAGAGGAGGAGACAGAAGAUCUGAUUAACAGCAGAGAGAGACAUGACUAUGGUGGAUCCUCUGGGAGCCUCAACAACAUCCUGAUGCUGACGAGGCAGAGAAGAGUCUCUCCAGAUCAGAACACCAGAUGGACAACACUAGCCCUUCCUCCCUCCCGGAGUCCCCGUGUCGUGCCUCUCCCGGUAGCACCUUACUGCUGGGUAUGAAGAGGUUGUCUGUGCUGCUGGUGGACUGCAGGAAAACAACGGGGCUGAGUGGAACUGUGAGAAGAGGAGAAGAGAAGAAAGGAUCAGAUUUGACACA